UACGAGGGGGGGCAAGCGUUGUUCGGAAUUACUGGGCGUAAAGCGUGCGCAGGCGGCCAUCCAAGUCAGUGGUGAAAGCCCGGAGCUCAACUCCAGAACUGCCUUCGAUACUGGAAGACUCGAGUCCGGGAGAGGUGAGUGGAACUGCGAGUGUAGAGGUGAAAUUCGUAGAUAUUCGCAAGAACACCAGUGGCGAAGGCGGCUCACUGGCCCGGUACUGACGCUGAGGUGCGAAAGCGUGGGGAGCAAACAGGG
rnacentral:rRNA from 1 species